CACGUAACCGCAGGUAAGUGACGCACGUAGAAGCUUGCGGUUUUCAGAUUUUAUUUCGCAGCCCCGAAAACAGGCAGAGGCUCGCUCGAGGAAAUGUUUAAAUGGUGUCGCACCGCAGUAGAGGAGCGGCCGGAAAUGCGACUGAGCCGAGGCUACCAACGUUUGUUUCGUAUUCAUGGAUCGGCGGCGAGCCAUUUUCAUAAAUCUUCCCGCGAAAUUUGAAUCGAAAGGGACGGAAUUAGAGGGAGCAGCCAGAUGAAGGGAAAAAGAAUGAAUGCAUGCAGGAAUAAAUGAACGCGUGUGCUGCUGAAUUAAUCACUUUUCGACAAGAAGGACAGAGAAAAAGAGACACAGGAAAGAUAAAUGAAAUGUAUAGGAGAGGAAGAGAAUCAGGAAAAGGAAGAAGGUCGCUCUUCAUGAGGAACCAAGGCAAAAUAGCGUCGUAACCGGAAGAGAUUCAGUGGAAAUUGAAAAAGAUAUCCUCUUAUAAAUGGUCGAUCCCUGUGAACCGUAAUUGACCAGCCCUAUAGCGACCGUAGGGAAGAGAGGCAGACGGAAAGGAAAAAAUGGGUGUGGGUGGAGGCUUCGAAUUAGCAUUACCACGCGAUUAGCAUUUAAACGACAUGAACGUUCGUUACGCGUGCCCGUGGCAACGUGCUCGUGCGUACUUACCGCGCGCGUACACGAACGAAACACGAACCGGAUAAAAACGCACACUUACGUAUAUCCGGCGCAGCGGACGGGAUAUACGAGACCCGCCAUUCAUCCAAUAUGGACGUACGAUAUCAGUUUUGCAAGUGGCGCUACACCGAUAAAUGCACCCACCGCGCCGUUUGCAAUUCGACGGGGCGAAUAAAUUCUCGACCGGUCCCGAUUCAUUUCGACAUUCAAAUUGUAAUAUGUUUGUAUACGCCCCAUACAUAUUUAUGCAUCUACGGGUAGACCGUGGCCGAUAUGGGCACCCAGCGCGCAGUUGCCAAUAGGCUGCCCGUUGAGUGUUGGUUAAAACCUGUCGGCGUAUUGCUAAUUGUCGACAUGCAUUGUCCGCUGGAAAUCUUCCAUCGAUCCUCGUUUGCAUUUCUCCAUUGCACGUGAGGGAAUGUGCGUACGUGUGAUGAGGAAAAUAUCGAGGAAUAAAUAAGAAGGAGAAGCGAAACUGGUUUGUCGUGUGGCUGGAUCCGCUAUAAGGAUAAAACUGGUAUGAUUAUAAUUGAGGAUAGUGAGACGUGCGUACGUACGUAUGACGUAGUUACUCAUUCGAAUUGAUUAUAACUCUUUAGUCACUUUGCUUUUUAUACACAUAUUACGUAAUUGAAAAGAGUAUAAAAAUAAAUAAUAAUUCCACGAAUCAAUAAUCAAUUAAUUUCGAAUUCAGCCAUAAUCCGAUACGUAAUCAUUUUCGUGAGUCAUUGCAAAUCCCUCACGAGAGAACUAUCAUUCUCAAUGGAAGUCUCGAUCAAAUUACGUCGCACAAAGAAAACUGUUCGGCGAAAAAUACUGCAGGACGCGUAAGCUCGUAUUAAUUUUUUUUAAUCGGAGCUUUGGAAAGACGAUAAAAAUAAGCAUCGAAGGACGGUUAAGCGAAGAAAACGAGAUGUAUAAUGGGGGAUAAGGGGGGGGAUAAAAAUAGACGUCGCAGAUUUUCCCU